rnacentral:piRNA from 1 species
UGCCAUUGCAAGUUCUGGCUUUGUGUA